UACAGAGGUCUCAAGCGUUGUUCGGAUUCAUUGGGCGUAAAGGGUGCGUAGGUGGCGCCGUAAGUCAGGUGUGAAAUCCCGGGGCUCAACCCCGGAACUGCACUUGAUACUGCGGUGCUUGAGUACUGGAGAGGAGAUUGGAAUUUACGGUGUAGCAGUGAAAUGCGUAGAUAUCGUAAGGAAGACCAGUGGCGAAAGCGAGUUCCUAGUGAGUUACUGACGCUGAGGCACGAAAGCUGGGGGAGCAAACGGG
rnacentral:rRNA from 1 species